UACAGACCAAGUUAAUAAGAGCUAUUGGUGGAUGCCUUGGCAUUGACAGGCGAAGAAGGACGCGAAUACCUGCGAAAAGCUCCGGCGAGCUGGUGAUAAGCAAAGACCCGGAGGUAUCCGAAUGGGGAAACCCGGUAGAGUAAUAGACUACCAUUGCAUGCUGAAUACAUAGGUAUGCAAAGCGACACCUGCCGAACUGAAACAUCUUAGUAAGCAGAGGAAAAGAAAUCGAAGAGAUUCCCUGUGUAGCGGCGAGCGAAAGGGGAAUAGCCUAAACCGAGCUGAUAAGGCUCGGGGUUGUAGGAUUGAGGAUAAAGGAUCAGGACUCCUAGUUGAACACAUCUGGAAAGAUGGAUGAUACAGGGUGAUAGUCCCGUAGACGAAAGGAGAGAAAGACCGACCUCAACACCUGAGUAGGACUAGACACGUGAAAUCUAGUCUGAAUCUGGGGAGACCACUCUCCAAGGCUAAAUACUAGUCAAUGACCGAUAGUGAACCAGUACUGUGAAGGAAAGGCGAAAAGAACCCUUGUUAAGGGAGUGAAAUAGAACCUGAAACCAGUAGCUUACAAGCGGUCGGAGACCAAUGGCCCGUAAGGGUCAAGGUUGACGGCGUGCCUUUU
rnacentral:rRNA from 1 species